UCUUUUCCUUUUGUGCCCGCCGCCGCGGUAAAACGUAGGUCACAAGCGUUGUCCGGAAUUACUGGGUGUAAAGGGAGCGCAGGCGGGAAGACAAGUUGGAAGUGAAAUCCAUGGGCUCAACCCAUGAACUGCUUUCAAAACUGUUUUUCUUGAGUAGUGCAGAGGUAGGCGGAAUUCCCGGUGUAGCGGUGGAAUGCGUAGAUAUCGGGAGGAACACCAGUGGCGAAGGCGGCCUACUGGGCACCAACUGACGCUGAGGCUCGAAAGUGUGGGUAGCAAACAGG
rnacentral:rRNA from 1 species